CCUCCCCUCAUACUUGUUAGAAUCGUCACUAUCAAGAAGAUAAGCAAUAGCAAGUGUUGGUGAAGAUGUGGAUAAAAAGGGAACAUUUGUGCACCAUUGGUUGGAAUGUAAAUUGUUUCAACCGCUAUGGAAAACUGCAGGCUGCUCAACAAUUUAAAACUAAAAAUACCAUAUGAACCAGCAAUCCUACUACUGGAUAUUUAUCUGAAGAAAAUGAAAACACUAAUUUAAAAAGAUAUAUGCACCUCAUGUUUAUUGUGGCAUUAUUUACAAAAGCCAAAACAUGGAAAUAACAAAUGUACAUUGAUGGGUGAAUGGAUAAAGCUGAUAUUUUCAUAACAAUGGAACAUUAUUCAGCUAUAAAAUAAUGAAAUCUGGCCAUUUGCAACACAUGGAUAGAACUUGAGGACUUUAUGCCAAAUGAAAUAAAUCAGAUAGAAUAAGAUAAAUACUGUAUGAUCUCAUAUAUGGAGUCUAAAAAAAAAAAAAGAAAAAAAUGAACUGAUAGAUACAGAGGACAGAUUUGUGGUUGCCUGAGGUGGGGUGUGAGGGAAUGAGUAAAGGGGGUCAAAAUAUACAAAUUUCCAAUUAUAAAAUGGGUAAAUCAUGGGAUGUAUAGUAAUGUACAGUAUAGUGAUGACACUUAAUACUCCACUGCAUAUUUGAAAGUAGCUAGGUGAGUGGAUUUUGAAAGUUCUUAUCACAAGAAAAAAAUUAUAAAAAAACAUUAUUUGGAAAAUAUUUCUUAUGUCUUUUAUAUAUCAUCUUUCAUAGAGGAUUUUCUGUUGCUUUUUCUAGGCAUAUGGGGUCCUGCCAGUCCAGAACCACUUUAAAUGAAGUUUGAGAUUUCAGCAUCCUUACAGAUGGUGCAAUGUUGAGCCACAUGUUCAAAAGAGAGCUUGCUAACCUCCAGCUUAUCUUCUAGUCCCACAAAACCACCAAAAGCACUGCUAAGCCUUUCAACUACUCCUGCAGGAAUGGUCUAUAAUACUCUUAGUAUGCUUUGAAUGAAGUAAAUGGAAUUUUGAGAGAAAUGUCUACUAUCUACUUCUACUGGGCAAAAUACUAUGGUGCUACCUGGACAAAGAAAACCAGGAGGCUGCUUACCAUAAUAACAAGUCAGGAUCAAGG